GAGCGAUCUUCUUCGGAAGAGAGCGGCGGACGGGUGAGUAACGCGUGGGUAACCUGCCCUGUACACACGGAUAACAUACCGAAAGGUAUGCUAAUACGGGAUAACAUAAGAAAGUCGCAUGGCUUUCUUAUCAAAGCUCCGGCGGUACAGGAUGGACCCGCGUCUGAUUAGCUAGUUGGUAAGGUAACGGCUUACCAAGGCGACGAUCAGUAGCCGACCUGAGAGGGUGAUCGGCCACAUUGGAACUGAGACACGGUCCAAACUCCUACGGGAGGCAGCAGUGGGGAAUAUUGCACAAUGGGCGAAAGCCUGAUGCAGCAACGCCGCGUGAGCGAUGAAGGCCUUCGGGUCGUAAAGCUCUGUCCUCAAGGAAGAUAAUGACGGUACUUGAGGAGGAAGCCCCGGCUAACUACGUGCCAGCAGCCGCGGUAAUAAU
rnacentral:rRNA from 1 species